rnacentral:rRNA from 1 species
CCUACGGGGGACAGCAGUGAGGAAUAUUGGUCAAUGGACGAAAGUCUGAACCAGCCAAGUAGCGUGAAGGAUGACUGCCCUAUGGGUUGUAAACUUCUUUUAUAUGGGAAUAAACUGUUCCACGUGUGGGAUUUUGUAUGUACCAUAUGAGUAAGGAUCGGCUAACUCCGUGCCAGCAGCCGCGGUAAUACGGAGGAUCCGAGCGUUAUCCGGAUUUAUUGGGUUUAAAGGGAGCGUAGGUGGAUUGUUAAGUCAGUUGUGAAAGUUUGCGGCUCAACCGUAAAAUUGCAGUUGAAACUGGCAGGCUUGAGUACAGGAGAGGUGGGCGGAAUUCGUGGUGGAGCGGUGAAAUGCUUAGAUAUCACGAAGAACUCCGAUUGCGAAGGCAGCUCACUGGACUGCAACUGACACUGAGGCUCGAAAGUGUGGGUAUCAAACAGGAUUAGAUACCCCUGUAGUC